GCCAACACAACCCGGUAAGUCAUAACCAGAGGACUUCACGGGCUUCUCCGCCUCCCUAACUCUCCUCGUACCUGACAGCCGAAUUCUAAACAAGGCAAAAAGGGCAACAUUCUCGGUCGUAUUCCAAUCCAACGACUACUGCUUCCUGAAUUCAAUUCAGUGAUGCAAAAGCAGAUGAGGAAACACCCCUCGUUUAGGAAGCAAACCCGCCGUUGGGGAAAUCUGACGAGCUGGAAAUAGAAGUCAAAAUCUACCGCGUUCAGUUGCGGGCAUCUGUUCUUCGGUUUUAUUCGUGAUAGACCCAAACCGAAACAGUUGUCACGUUCCCGUGUUGGACCUGAAUCCCAUCUGUAUCAUUUAUGGAUAGCGUGUAGUAAACCGAACCGAAUGAGGAAGGUCUGUGAGCAAAGGUGCUGACAAACCUUUAACCGAGUGCCAGGGUACUCGGGGACAGGAACAUCAAAUGAAACAAAUGAAUGUGCCGUAAAUAAACCUGUACGGUACUACU